rnacentral:rRNA from 1 species
CUCCUACGGGAGGCAGCAGUGGGGAAUUUUCCGCAAUGGGCGAAAGCCUGACGGAGUGACGCCGCGUGGGGGACGAAGGCCUUCGGGUCGUAAACCCCUGUCAGAGGGAAAGAAGGGUCGGUGCGUGAAUAGCGCAUCGAUCUGACGGUACCUUCAGAGGAAGCCCCGGCUAACUCUGUGCCAGCAGCCGCGGUAAUACAGAGGGGGCAAGCGUUGCUCGGAAUCACUGGGCGUAAAGGGCGCGUAGGCGGGAUGGCAAGUCGGUCGUGAAAUCCCUCGGCUCAACUCAGGGGGGUCGGCCGAUACUGCCGUUCUUGAGUGCUGCAGAGGAGACUGGAAUUCCCGGUGUAGCGGUGAAAUGUGUAGAGAUCGGGAGGAACACCGGUGGCGAAGGCGGGUCUCUGGGCAUUCCCUGACGCUGAGGCGCGAAAGCGUGGGGAGCAAACGGGAUUAGAUACCCCGGUAGUCCACGCGGUAAACGAUGGCGACUAGGUGUGGGGGGGAUCAAUUCCCUUCCGUGCCGCAGCUAACGCAUUAAGUCGUCCGCCUGG